rnacentral:rRNA from 1 species
UACGGAGGGUGCGAGCGUUGUCCGGAAUCACUGGGCGUAAAGGGCGCGUAGGCGGCAUGCCAAGCGUGUGGUGAAAGCCCGGGGCUCAACCCCGGGUCGGCCGUGCGGACUGGCGUGCUUGAGCACUGUAGGGGCGGGUGGAAUUCCGGGUGUAGCGGUGGAAUGCGUAGAGAUCCGGAAGAACACCGGUGGCGAAGGCGGCCCGCUGGGCAGGAAGGAAGCGCAAGCUCCGGCUGACGCUGAGGCGCGACAGCGUGGGGAGCAAACAGG